ensembl:lncRNA
AUAAUCACUACUGGAUAGUCCCUGGGUCAAGCUGAGGGAACCACACACAUCAAGGGAACAGAGCUGUGCAUGUGAAAGUGUCACUAGUGCGCCAUGUGCUCACUGUCCUACCCAUACCCCCACCCUGCCCACCCAGUCCCAAAUCUGCCCUUAUGAAGAAGGCCACUGUUUGCAGACAUAUCAGCCCCUUUCGGGCCCUUUCACAGAGGUCCAGAGUUGAGGCAGCCUCCAGGUCUGUCACAGAUUGCCCACAGCUGUUGCAAGACCACGUGCUUCACAGGCCACAGGUUCUUCCUGCUUUCUAACCACAUAUGCAAAGGCCAUCUGCUCCGUUUACCACAGCUCUUGCAGGUCUGCAGCUCCUGUACACACAACAAACGUGAGGAAGGGGCUGUCAUCUCUCACCACGCUCAGAAGU